AGAGAGCGCUCUGGGCUUCCUGAGCUGGAGUCCUCAGCACACCUGGGGAUCAUCAGCUCAUCAGAAGACCUCCCUACAUAAGCAGCAGUCAGACCUUCCUUCGACGCCGCAGUGUUGACCUAGUUUGAAACCCGACUGAAGUCUGAAGCUCUGGAUGAGCAUAACCUGGAAAUCUGCCUGCCUGCCCACGUAAGCCAAACCUGAAGAUCUCAGUCAGGAUUCCUCCGUCAGUUCUCUGGGAAGAGCUAGGAAACAAACCCAAGUCCGAAAACUCUCUGGCUAGAAGCUAGACGCUGCUGCUGCUGCUGAGCUCUCUGCUACUUCCACAGUCUCUGGACCCAACCGGUUUCCCCUCUCAAAGGAUCUGUUAGAACCUCUUCAAGAUAUAAGAGUAACCAGUCCCGGACCUGCACCAGAACCAGUUCCUGAUUAACUCU